rnacentral:rRNA from 1 species
GAUGAACGCUGGCGGCGUGCCUAAUACAUGCAAGUCGAACGAAUGGAUUAAGAGCUUGCUCUUAUGAAGUUAGCGGCGGACGGGUGAGUAACACGUGGGUAACCUGCCCAUAAGACUGGGAUAACUCCGGGAAACCGGGGCUAAUACCGGAUAAUAUUUUGAACUGCAUGGUUCAAAAUUGAAAGGCGGCUUCGGCUGUCACUUAUGGAUGGACCCGCGUCGCAUUAGCUAGUUGGUGAGGUAACGGCUCACCAAGGCAACGAUGCGUAGCCGACCUGAGAGGGUGAUCGGCCACACUGGGACUGAGACACGGCCCAGACCCCUACGGGAGGCAGCAGUAGGGAAUCUUCCGCAAUGGACGAAAGUCUGACGGAGCAACGCCGCGUGAGUGAUGAAGGCUUUCGGGUCGUAAAACUCUGUUGUUAGGGAAGAACAAGUGCUAGUUGAAUAAGCUGGCACCUUGACGGUACCUAACCAGAAAGCCACGGCUAACUACGUGCCAGCCGCCGCCGUAA